rnacentral:rRNA from 1 species
GAUGAACGCUGGCGGCGUGCCUAAUACAUGCAAGUCGAGCGAACAGACGAGGAGCUUGCUCCUCUGACGUUAGCGGCGGACGGGUGAGUAACACGUGGAUAACCUACCUAUAAGACUGGGAUAACUUCGGGAAACCGGAGCUAAUACCGGAUAAUACAUUGAACCGCAUGGUUCAAUAGUGAAAGACGGUUUUGCUGUCACUUAUAGAUGGAUCCGCGCCGCAUUAGCUAGUUGGUAAGGUAACGGCUUACCAAGGCAACGAUGCGUAGCCGACCUGAGAGGGUGAUCGGCCACACUGGAACUGAGAAACGGUCCAGACUCCUACGGGAGGCAGCAGUAGGGAAUCUUCCGCAAUGGGCGAAAGCCUGACGGAGCAACGCCGCGUGAGUGAUGAAGGUCUUCGGAUCGUAAAACUCUGUUAUUAGGGAAGAACAAAUGUGUAAGUAACUAUGCACGUCUUGACGGUACCUAAUCAGAAAGCCACGGCUAACUACGUG